rnacentral:tRNA from 1 species
UCGCGGUGCUCGCGGGUUACUUCACGCACCUGUGCCUGGACCGCCGUCUGUAUCCGGUGGUGGACAGGUUGGUGGUGCGACACCGCCGCCGCGGU